AUUGAACGCUGGCGGCAGGCCUAACACAUGCAAGUCGAGCGGAUGAAGGGAGCUUGCUCCUGGAUUCAGCGGCGGACGGGUGAGUAAUGCCUAGGAAUCUGCCUGGUAGUGGGGGAUAACGUCCGGAAACGGGCGCUAAUACCGCAUACGUCCUGAGGGAGAAAGUGGGGGAUCUUCGGACCUCACGCUAUCAGAUGAGCCUAGGUCGGAUUAGCUAGUUGGUGGGGUAAAGGCCUACCAAGGCGACGAUCCGUAACUGGUCUGAGAGGAUGAUCAGUCACACUGAAACUGAGAAACGGUCCAGACUCCUACGGGAGGCAGCAGUGGGGAAUAUUGACAAUGGGCGAAAGCCUGAUCCAGCCAUGCCGCGUGUGUGAAGAAGGUCUUCGGAUUGUAAAGCACUUUAAGUUGGGAGGAAGGGCAGUAAGUUAAUACCUUGCUGUUUUGACGUUACCAACAGAAUAAGCACCGGCUAACUUCGUG
rnacentral:rRNA from 1 species